ensembl:lncRNA
GGUGGCCGAGACUAUUAAAAUACUGUCUUUCCUACUAGACUGCCUGCCGUUUAAUGUGACUGAGGCUCAGCUAACGAUGACACUCUGAAGGCGGAGUAAAUCUUUCUGCCCAAGAGGAGAGGACAGAGCAUCAGGAGUGAGCCCGAACCAGAUGAUUUCCCAAAUAUGGCGAGACAGGGAAAGCGCUCUGCUCCCCGCUCCGACCUCCACCCCCAGCUUGAGGCAUUUUGCUUCCCUGCCACUUGAGUGGAAGGAUGUGUGAACUACAAGUGCCAUGCAGCCUUAUCCAACAGUACCAAAAAUCGGGAAAGAAGAACAAAACAAAGAACGGAGAAAAGGCUGGAUAGCUUUGCGGCAACAGAGCUCAGCCCACGCCCCCCCUCUCACCGCAGCCCACGUAUGGGACGGGCCUGCAGGUAGGUUGAUUGCUCCAAGGUUGGGGGUUUGUACGAUGUGUGUGGUGGAAACAGAAAGCGGCCAGGACCCUCCCAGUCACUAAGGAAAACCUCACAGGACACAGACUGGGCAGGGAAAGUGGAUGAGGAACUGUAAAGGCAAAAAGGGGGAAGGGAUCAAAGAAUGAGAGUCCGAAUGAAGUUCAGGAGGCAGAACACGGGGAAUAAGGGCGCAAAGGGUUGGAAGGGUGAAGUGUGAAGCCUGAGAUCAAAAGAUUUCUUUUUUCAAUGUUUAUUUAUUUUGAAAGAGAGAGAGCAGGGAAGGGCAGAGAGAGAAGGAGAAAGAGAACCCCAGGCAGGCUCUGAGCUGUGAGCACGGAGCCCAACGUGGGGCUUGAACUCGUGAACCGCGAGACCACGCCCUGAGCCCAAACCGAGAGUCAGCCACGUAACCGACUGAGCCACCCAGGAGCCCCAUGAGAUUAAACGAUUUCUGAGGUUGUGUAAUUCCAGGAGGUGGUGAGCUCCACGGUAUGCAGCCAUCCAUGGUUUGCCGGAAGGCGAGGUGACGAAGCGGUUAUUGGAGUUAUUGGAAGAGGUCAAAGAUGGACAUCAAAGCUGAAGCCAUGAAGUCUACGGAGGGGCUUGGAGUGGAGAAGAAAAACAAGUGGCAGGCGCCCAAGUGUUUAGGGAAAGAGAGGGAGUGUGAUCAGAAGGUUGUGGAAGGUGGCCACCGGGAGAGGAGGGGGAGGUAGGGACCAAUGACAGGACUGUCAAGAAGGGCGUUUGCGUGGGAAUGGGAGAACAGCGUCCGGGAGCAGCCUGAGAGGCAGUGGGAGGCAGGCUUUGCUCCCCUGGGCAGCAGGCGAGACAGAAGAGCAGGAGACCAAAUGAGCAGCACACGCUCGGGAAGUACACGGCACAGCCUUGGCCGGGGCUGAAGGGGCCGGAGAACAUUCACCAGAUUCUGCCUGAAUAUGCAGAUUAGCUCAGCGUCCGUCGAGGCGCAGCCUUGUGCGGCUUUCCACGUAGGAGAUGGUGUCGGAUGAUGAUCAUCUUCUCAAUUGAAGACUCACACGCUCAUUCUAGUAUGUGUUAUGAAUACGUAUAUGACCAGCUUGUCAUCCUAGAGAAUUCACAAAUAACUGUGCUUAGCGUAAGAGUUCGGUUUAAAAUCGGGUCAAUUUAAAGAAAGCUAUCAAUGGGGAGCCUGGGUGGCUCCGUCGGCUAAGCAUCUGACUCUUGAGUUCAGCUCAGGUCACGAUCUCACAGUCUGUGAGUUCGAGCCCUGCAUAGGGCUCUGUGCUAACAUCGCAGAGCCUGCUUGGGAUUCUCUCUCUCUCUGCCCCUCCCCUGCUUGUGCGUGCCCGCUCUCUCCUCUCUCUCUCUCUCUCUCUCUCUCUCUUUCUC